rnacentral:lncRNA from 10 species
CCAGCAUCUCCUUCUUCUCCCUCUGCUGGAAUAAUGACUUUGUACUGAAUUCUCACAGGAAGUCUCAGACGAAGACACUGCUAACUCCACUUUCAGAGAGAAACACUGAGGCUCAGAGCUAAACUAACUCGCCUCAGAGCCCACAUCCUGGACUUGAGCCUCAGGGUGUUGCAUGCCAAAGCCUGUCCUCUUCACCCCAGCUUCCUGGGCAUUGGAGCGGAUCCAUAGUGUUAGAUAUGCAGUGGGAAUGGCCCCCAUUCCAAGCCACUUCCUGACCUGAUGGCAGCACCCUGCUAGUCCUCACAUGGAGCCCUGGAGAAGCCGGGUUCCUUAACCCAGAUUUGAAUCAAUAGCCUCACACCUGGUAUGCACAUCCAGGCCAAGUGUGGCUGAAUGGGGAGCAUCUGUUCUGGAGACGGCCACCCUCAUGGGCUCCUCUGCUUCCUGUCCCUUCGGGCACUGAUUUAUGGCACACAGCAGGGAAGGGCCUGAGCUUGAGCCCUGACCAUCGUUAUCAUCACCAUCUUCAUUCCAGUGCAGUGAAGAACAUUCUGAAG